rnacentral:snoRNA from 1 species
AACGCCAGAUUCCUGACCCAUCAGACUGAAACAUUAGUCUGAGUGGCUAGAAAAUGAAGAAAAUUAAAACUGAAAUGGACUUGAAUUCUUUUGAGACAUACAAGUUCAUUAAAAAAAAAA